GGUUCUUAAAGUGAAGCAGAUGUCAGGAUUAAUAUCAAACAUACAGAAGUUAAGUAUAAAAGAGCCAACUUGGAACCCUGGACUGUUACUUGGAUGUGACCAACUUCAACAUGACAAAAUUUAAAAAGAAGCAAAAUCUAUGCCUUGGAC